AUGGUCCAGCAUUUGACGUAUCAUCAUGGGCUUUCCUACAAUACAGCCUCUAACAAAACUAGGCUGUCCCAAACCCCUGGUAAUAGAAUUGUUUACCUUUAUACCAAGAAGGUUAGGAAAGCACCAAAAUCUCCACGUGGCAUGCCUCCAAGUAGAUUUCAAGGAGUUUGUGCUGUGAGACCUAAAGUUCUUAUGAGGUUAUCUUGAAAAAAUGUGUCAGCAGAGCCUAUGGUGGUUCCAUGUAUGCUAAUUGUGUCCAUGACAGGAUCAAACAUGCUUUCUUCAUCAAGGAGCAGAAAAUCCUUGUGAAAGUGUUGAAGGCACAAGCACAGAGUUUGAAAGCUAAA
rnacentral:lncRNA from 1 species